UAGAAUUAGGUCAUUGUCUCAAAGUUGGUAGAGUACGUAUUAACUCAAUAAUUGUUUUUAACCUCAUCCAGACUUCACACAAUGGAGCGAUGCUUUGGAGGCAGAAAAAGAUAACAUGCCGAACCUGCCCUCACCUUCAUCCUUCUCUUCCUCAUUACUCUGCUUUUCACCAUUGCAACUACUGCUUUCAAGGUUAAAUGAGGUGAACUUUCUGUAGAAUGUAUUUUUCACAGUGUUUUUGCAUACAUUCAGAGUAUCAUGUAAGUAACCGUCUUUGUCCUUUAUUUAUUACAAAAAAACCAUGUCAUUAUGAUGUUUUUAAAAUAUUAACCAUUGACAUUGAAACUGCAAUAUUUUUUCUCUUUUUCAAACUGUACUAUCUAUCAUUUCCACCACGAACAUUUUUGUCACAUAAUAAUCCUAUUUGUACAAUGUCUGUUUUGAGCAAUCUGCAUUUGUGUGAUUUGUUUUUUCAAGUAAUAAAUUGCAUUUCUGUUAAUGACUUUUCCAGAAUCUUUUAAUGAACAACCCAUGAGAGAUUCAAGACAUGAAUGUGAACAUUUUACAGUUGCUUAUGUUCUUGAAUCUAUUAUUAAACCUUUUUGCAAAGUUUGAAACCUA